GAGAAGCAAAGCUGGGGAGCAACGGAUUAGAUACCCGGUAGUCCUGCCGUAAACGUUGGGCGCUAGGUGUGGGACUCAUUCCACGAGUUCCGUGCCGCAGCUAACGCAUUAAGCGACCCGCCUGGGGAGUACGGCCGCAAGGCUAAAACUCAAAGGAAUUGACGGGGGCCCGCACAAGCGGCGGAGACAUGCGGAUUAAUUCGAUGCAACGCGAAGAACCUUACCAAGGCUUGACCAUAUACCGGAAACAUCCAGAGAUG
rnacentral:rRNA from 1 species